CAUGGAAUAGCUAGGUCAUAUGGUAAAUUUACAUUUAACAACUAAGGAAACUGCCAGACUGUUUUUCAAAGUGGAUAUGCCAUUUUAUAUUCCCACCAGCUGU
rnacentral:pre_miRNA from 1 species